UGUAGUCUGUGGUUGAUUCGCACCACAGAGUAAAAUUAACUGUGAUUAAAAAUAAAUGAUCAGCUGGUGCCUGGUACACAUUUGUCAUAUUUAUUGUCAUCAUUCCGAUUACGAGGAAAUCAAUGAAUUUUGUAAUCCGUUUUCCUUGUACAUAUUUACUUUAGAAAACACGUUCUGAUUUGCAAAUGUAUUUAUUCAAACAACUAAUAUAGGCGAAAAAAACAUGGAAGUUUUAAAUGAAUAUGAUACUAUAAGUGUAGAUACAUUAGCGUUAGAGGAAAUUUUGAGAGAAGAGAGGGCAGCUGAAAUAUCUAAACUAAAUACGUUGAGCAAAAAAGUUUGCUACCUUCACACCGAAUUAUUGUACUAUAGGCACGCCAAGUCCAAAAUUGGUGCAGCCUGUUAUGAAGCUUGGAAGACGUUGGUAAAAAAAGUUGGAGGAACACCAAACUGUUGGAGAGACCUCGGACGAUUGCUGGGUGUUACACAGGAUGACUUAGAUUAUAUAAUGAAUUCUGUCAGAGAUGAUCCUGUCGACAUGGUGCUCAAAGUUUUCAAACAAAACGAAAAGGCCACAUUAGAUAAAGUUGUUGAUGCUUUUGUAAAAAUGAAGAGAUAUGACAUACUCAAAUCGAUUGAGGAUCCAUUGUGUAGUAUGGCCCAGUAUUUCAACAAGGAUGACAGUGGGUACCAGAGCAAUGACAAAAUGAGUGGACACAAAGAAAUUGUCACAUUAAAAUGUCUUUCUAAUGAUUUACCACCAGCUUUAAAUAAGAGUAUAGUUUCUAAGGAUAAAGACCCUAAUAAGCCAAAACCACAACUACAACCAUCGCGAAAACAAAAAUGUUACCGUCAUCAAUGAUAGUCCAAUAUUAUUUUUAACAUAUGCUCAAGACGGUUUGCCAACAGCUAUUAAUAUUCAAGAAUAUGUAUCCAACUGGUCUGAAAUAACUGGAGUAAAAGUAGUAACACUUAAUAACAGGAGGGAGGAUAUAUAUAAAAACCCAGAGAAGUUCAUUAGGGAAUAUUUUGAAAAGGCUGAUUUUAUAGUUCCCAUAAUAACACCGGGGUAUCUACAACAGAUAACAUCCAAUAGUAGUAACGUACCAAAUACAUCAGAAAACUUGGACCACAAAUAUGUGAAUUUUAUCUACAAUCUCAUUGUCAAUCACUACAUACAUGUGACUGGAUGUUUAAACACAAAAGUAAGGAGUGUUCUGCCCCAGAAUGCUAAUGUGGAUCUAUUCGCUAGAAUUACCAUGUACCCAGAUUUACUGCCUUGGACAUAUGAGACUAAUUUUGAUGAACAAUUUCAAGUUUUCUUAAGGAAAGACAAUUCUUGAUGUGUACUCAAUACAAAUAAUCUGUUUUAUAAUUUUAUCAUGCCAUAUUCAUAAAUUCUUAACUAUU